rnacentral:rRNA from 1 species
GGACCAUCCUCCAAGGCUAAAUACUCCUGACUGACCGAUAGUGAACCAGUACCGUGAGGGAAAGGCGAAAAGAACCCCGGCGAGGGGAGUGAAAAAGAACCUGAAACCGUGUACGUACAAGCAGUGGGAGCACGCUUAGGCGUGUGACUGCGUACCUUUUGUAUAAUGGGUCAGCGACUUAUAUUCUGUAGCAAGGUUAACCGAAUAGGGGAGCCGAAGGGAAACCGAGUCUUAACUGGGCGUUAAGUUGCAGGGUAUAGACCCGAAACCCGGUGAUCUAGCCAUGGGCAGGUUGAAGGUUGGGUAACACUAACUGGAGGACCGAACCGACUAAUGUUGAAAAAUUAGCGGAUGACUUGUGGCUGGGGGUGAAAGGCCAAUCAAACCGGGAGAUAGCUGGUUCUCCCCGAAAGCUAUUUAGGUAGCGCCUCGUGAAUUCAUCUCCGGGGGUAGAGCACUGUUUCGGCAAGGGGGUCAUCCCGACUUACCAACCCGAUGCAAACUGCGAAUACCGGAGAAUGUUAUCACGGGAGACACACGGCGGGUGCUAACGUCCGUCGUGAAGAGGGAAACAACCCAGACCGCCAGCUAAGGUCCCAAAGUCAUGGUUAAGUGGGAAACGAUGUGGGAAGGCCCAGACAGCCAGGAUGUUGGCUUAGAAGCAGCCAUCAUUUAAAGAAAGCGUAAUAGCUCACUGGUCGAGUCGGCCUGCGCGGAAGAUGUAACGGGGCUAAACCAUGCACCGAAGCUGCGGCAGCGACGCUGAUGCGUUGUUGGGUAGGGGAGCGUUCUGUAAGCCUGUGAAGGUGUGCUGUGAGGCAUGCUGGAGGUAUCAGAAGUGCGAAUGCUGACAUAAGUAACGAUAAAGCGGGUGAAAAGCCCGCUCGCCGGAAGACCAAGGGUUCCUGUCCAACGUUAAUCGGGGCAGGGUGAGUCGACCCCUAAGGCGAGGCCGAAAGGCGUAGUCGAUGGGAAACAGGUUAAUAUUCCUGUACUUGGUGUUACUGCGAAGGGGGGACGGAGAAGGCUAUGUUGGCCGGGCGACGGUUGUCCCGGUUUAAGCGUGUAGGCUGGUUUUCCAGGCAAAUCCGGAAAAC